ensembl:miRNA dre-mir-99-1 microRNA 99-1
GCCACUUGUCAUUAACCCGUAGAUCCGAUCUUGUGAUAAGUUUGAUGGCACAAGCUCGAUUCUAUGGGUCUCUGUCUCUGUGGU